GCCGACAUAGCUCAAUUGGCAGAGCAGCCGCCUUGUAAGCGGCAGGUCAUGGGUUCAAGUCCCAUUGUCGGCUC
rnacentral:tRNA from 1 species